rnacentral:rRNA from 1 species
UACGUAGGGCGCAAGCGUUAUCCGGAAUUAUUGGGCGUAAAGAGCUCGUAGGCGGUUUGUCGCGUCUGCCGUGAAAGUCCGGGGCUCAACUCCGGAUCUGCGGUGGGUACGGGCAGACUAGAGUGAUGUAGGGGGAGACUGGAAUUCCUGGUGUAGCGGUGAAAUGCGCAGAUAUCAGGAAGAACACCAAUGGCGAAAGCAGCUUUCUGGGACGGUACUGACGCUGAGACGCGAAAGCGUGGGGAGCAAACAGG